UUUCCGUAGGUGAACCUGCGGAAGGAUCAUUAUUGAAAGCUUCGGCUUCCUUCAAUAUCUUCACCCUUUUGUUGAUCAUUACCACAGUUGCUUCCAUGGCUAGCCUCUGACUUUGAGAGUCAUGCUACGCCGUGGAUGGUCUACAUUUAAAACCUUUGUAAUUAGCCGUGUCUUAGUCUGAAUACAGAGAAUUAACAUCUCAAAACUUUCAACAACGGAUCUCUUGGCUCCU
rnacentral:misc_RNA from 1 species